UACGUAGGGGGCGAGCGUUGUCCGGAUUUAUUGGGCGUAAAGAGCGUGUAGGCGGCUUGUUAAGUCUUGCGUGAAAUCUCGGGGCUCAACCCCGAGCGGUCGUGAGAAACUGGCAGGCUAGAGUGCGGGAGAGGAGAGUGGAACUCCUGGUGUAGCGGUGAAAUGCGCAGAUAUCAGGAAGAACACCCGUGGCGAAGGCGGCUCUCUGGAACGCAACUGACGCUGAGACGCGAAAGCGUGGGGAGCAAACAGG
rnacentral:rRNA from 1 species